AAUGGGUCAGCGACUUAUAUUCUGUAGCAAGGUUAACCGAAUAGGGGAGCCGAAGGGAAACCGAGUCUUAACUGGGCGUUAAGUUGCAGGGUAUAGACCCGAAACCCGGUGAUCUAGCCAUGGGCAGGUUGAAGGUUGGGUAACACUAACUGGAGGACCGAACCGACUAAUGUUGAAAAAUUAGCGGAUGACUUGUGGCUGGGGGUGAAAGGCCAAUCAAACCGGGAGAUAGCUGGUUCUCCCCGAAAGCUAUUUAGGUAGCGCCUCGUGAAUUCAUCUCCGGGGGUAGAGCACUGUUUCGGCAAGGG
rnacentral:rRNA from 1 species